UACAGAGGUCUCAAGCGUUGUUCGGAUUCAUUGGGCGUAAAGGGUGCGUAGGCGGGUCUUUAAGUCAGGGGUGAAAUCCUGGAGCUCAACUUCAGAACUGCCUUUGAUACUGAAGAUCUUGAGUUCGGGAGAGGUGAGUGGAACUGCGAGUGUAGAGGUGAAAUUCGUAGAUAUUCGCAAGAACACCAGUGGCGAAGGCGGCUCACUGGCCCGAUACUGACGCUGAGGCACGAAAGCGUGGGGAGCAAACAGG
rnacentral:rRNA from 1 species